AAUUUUUCACUGUGUUUGAUGGAAAAGUUUAAUAUCUGAUACGACUACAUAUUAAAUAGAUUUUUCGAACGGGGAGUCGGUAAUGGGGCUUGCUCCAUCUGCUCCAUGCAUCGACCCGGUUUUGCAGUACCUCAGGAACGGUGCAACACUU
rnacentral:snRNA from 1 species